rnacentral:rRNA from 1 species
AAUCAUCAACUCUUUGUUUCUUUUUCGAGAGAAACCGAGAGCUUGGACUUGGAGGCUUGUGCUGGCUCUGUUUUUAUGGGUCGGCUCCUCUUGAAUGCAUUAGCUUGAACCUUCUGCUGUAUCGGCUGUUCGGUGUGAUAAUUAUCUACGCCGUGGCUGUGAGGCUUUAAAUCUGUGGGCUCAGCUUCUAACCGUCCUUUGAACGGGGACUACCGUGUAAAGGUAUCAUUGACCUCUGACCUCAAAUCAGGUAGGA